UGGAAAAUAGGGGCAAAAAAAGAAAAGGAUAUUCUUUUGAUAGAUUAAAGUAUGAUCCGACUUAACUACGAAAUCAUGGAUCAGCUACCAAAUCCAUGAACUAGGGGAAGUUAACAUAGACAAAAGUCUGAAGUAUACAUAGACAAAAGUCUGAAGUAUAUGAACGUAGCAAGAAGGAAAUAACAUUCAAUUACAACCCAUUGAACGACAACAGACAUUUUACAAGAAAUAUGUAUAAGGCAGAUUUGAUUUCCUUGG
rnacentral:lncRNA from 1 species